UCUCAAAAUGUAGGAUCAUUUGACCAUGUUUCCAUAGUGUGCAAGUUUUACAUGAGAGGACUGGAAGCAACAUUAUUAUUGUAUGGGUAUAAAUAUCUAAUUUUACAAGGAAUGGCUGUUAGAAUCCACCAAAUGUUAGAAGCAUGGCCUCUUCAUUGACUUCUGCCAUCUCAAACUUUCGCCUUAUCCUGACCACUGGCAUUUCCUUUGGUUGAUGGACUGGAUGUCCUUGAAGUCUAAAGGUAGCCUUACAGAUCUAUCUUCCUAAGGGGAGCACUCACUUGGGACCAAACAAAUUAGAUGCCAGAAGCACAGAUACUAGACUUCAGUCCAGAUGAGUUCGGGGGCUGCAGACCACACAG